GAAUUCAUUUUAUGCAGUUUGCUGUGGGGCUAUGGGCGAUGCUUAUUAGUUGCAAUUUGCCUGCUGUGGCCAAAGUUUGCUCGCCAAAAACCAAAACCCAACCAAAAAAACCCAAAACCAAAUAAAUUAAAUAAUUGCUGGCCUAAGAAGUUGAUAGGAUGGGGAAAAAUAAGAGCGGAGGCGGUGGCGGCGGCGGUGGUGGUGGUGGAGGAGGCAGUAAUGUAAGCAAUAUUUGUGUUAUGCAACUUGCGUAUUAAUUAAAAAAGGCGGUGGCGGUGGUGGCGCAGGAGGAGCCGCAGCAGCAGCUGGAGCUGGUGGAAAUAAAAACAAAGGCGGUGGGGCUGGCGUUGACAAAGGUGGAGCCAAGAAAGGACCAGACCAAAAGCCACCCGCAGGCGCUGGCAAAAAGGGAGGCAAGAAAUAGCAGUAGCCCUAAGGCCAAUGUGGCAACAUCAAAGCGCAUUAUAAAAUACCCAUUUAGAAUUAAGUUGAAAUUAAAAGGAUAUCAGGGAAUAUAUAUAUAUGUAUAUGUAUAUAUCUAUAAUGUAUAUCGCUCUAUCAAUUAGCGGAACUGCAUUGCAUUACGUUCA